rnacentral:tRNA from 1 species
GGGCCUGUAGCUCAGCUGGGAGAGCGCCUCGUUCGCAAUGAGGAGGUCGACAGUUCGAUCCUGUUCAGGUCCACCA